CCUACGGGGGGCAGCAGUGAGGAAUAUUGGUCAAUGGACGCGAGUCUGAACCAGCCAAGUAGCGUGAAGGAUGACUGCCCUACGGGUUGUAAACUUCUUUUAUAAAGGAAUAAAGUGAGGUACGUGUGCCUUUUUGUAUGUACCUUAUGAAUAAGGAUCGGCUAACUCCGUGCCAGCAGCCGCGGUAAUACGGAGGAUCCGAGCGUUAUCCGGAUUUAUUGGGUUUAAAGGGAGCGUAGAUGGGUUGUUAAGUCAGUUGUGAAAGUUUGCGGCUCAACCGUAAAAUUGCAUUUGAUACUGGCAGCCUUGAGUACAGUUGAGGUAGGCGGAAUUCGUGGUGUAGCGGUGAAAUGCUUAGAUAUCACGAAGAACUCCGAUUGCGAAGGCAGCCUACUAAACUGCCACUGACACUGAUGCUCGAAAGUGUGGGUAUCAAACAGGAUUAGAUACCCUAGUAGUC
rnacentral:rRNA from 1 species